rnacentral:rRNA from 1 species
GACGAACGCUGGCGGCGUGCUUAACACAUGCAAGUCGAACGAUGAAGCCUAGCUUGCUAGGUGGAUUAGUGGCGAACGGGUGAGUAAUACGUGAGUAACCUACCUUUAACUCUGGGAUAAGCCUGGGAAACUGGGUCUAAUACCGGAUACGACCAAUCUCCGCAUGGGGUGUUGGUGGAAAGCGUUAUGUAGUGGUUAUAGAUGGGCUCACGGCCUAUCAGCUUGUUGGUGAGGUAACGGCUCACCAAGGCGACGACGGGUAGCCGGCCUGAGAGGGUGACCGGCCACACUGGGACUGAGACACGGCCCAGACUCCUACGGGAGGCAGCAGUGGGGAAUAUUGCACAAUGGGCGCAAGCCUGAUGCAGCGACGCCGCGUGAGGGAUGACGGCCUUCGGGUUGUAAACCUCUGUUAGCAGGGAAGAAGAGAGAUUGACGGUACCUGCAGAGAAAGCGCCGGCUAACUACGUGCCAGCAGCCGCGGUAAUACGUAGGGCGCGAGCGUUGUCCGGAAUUAUUGGGCGUAAAGAGCUUGUAGGCGGUUUGUCGCGUCUGCUGUGAAGGCCGGAGCUUAACUCCGUGUAUUGCAGUGGGUACGGGCAGACUAGAGUGCAGUAGGGGAGACUGGAAUUCCUGGUGUAGCGGUGGAAUGCGCAGAUAUCAGGAGGAACACCGAUGGCGGAGGCAGGUCUCUGGGCUGUAACUGACGCUGAGAAGCGAAAGCAUGGGGAGCGAACAGGAUUAGAUACCCUGGUAGUCCAUGCCGUAAACGUUGGGCACUAGGUGUGGGGAACAUUCCACGUUUUCCGCGCCGUAGCUAACGCAUUAAGUGCCCCGCCUGGGGAGUACGGCCGCAAGGCUAAAACUCAAAGAAAUUGACGGGGGCCCGCACAAGCGGCGGAGCAUGCGGAUUAAUUCGAUGCAACGCGAAGAACCUUACCAAGGCUUGACAUAUACUGGACCGCAUCAGAGAUGGUGUUUCCCUUCGGGGCUGGUAUACAGGUGGUGCAUGGUUGUUGUCAGCUCGUGUCGUGAGAUGUUGGGUUAAGUCCCGCAACGAGCGCAACCCUCGUUCUAUGUUGCCAGCACGUUAUGGUGGGGACUCAUAGGAGACUGCCGGGGUCAACUCGGAGGAAGGUGGGGAUGACGUCAAAUCAUCAUGCCCCUUAUGUCUUGGGCUUCACGCAUGCUACAAUGGCCGGUACAGAGGGUUGCGAUACUGUGAGGUGGAGCUAAUCCCUAAAAGCCGGUCUCAGUUCGGAUUGGGGUCUGCAACUCGACCCCAUGAAGUCGGAGUCGCUAGUAAUCGCAGAUCAGCAACGCUGCGGUGAAUACGUUCCCGGGCCU